rnacentral:rRNA from 1 species
CCUACGGGCGGCAGCAGUGAGGAAUAUUGGUCAAUGGGCGGAAGCCUGAACCAGCCAAGUAGCGUGCGGGAUGAAGGCCCUACGGGUCGUAAACCGCUUUUGCACGGGGAUAACACCCUCCACUUGUGGAGGUCUGCAGGUACCGUGCGAAUAAGGGCCGGCUAAUUCCGUGCCAGCAGCCGCGGUAAUACGGAAGGCCCGAGCGUUAUCCGGAUUCAUUGGGCUUAAAGGGAGCGUAGGCGGGCGUUCAAGUCAGCUGUAAAAUCGCGCGGCUCAACCGCGCCCCGCAGUUGAAACUGGACGCAUUGAGUUCACAACAGGCAGGCGGAAUUCGUGGUGUAGCGGUGAAAUGCAGAGAUAGCACGAGGAACCCCGAUUGCGAAGGCAGCCUGCCGGGGUGCGACUGACGCUGAGGCUCGAAGGUGCGGGUAUCAAACAGGAUUAGAUACCCUAGUAGUC